rnacentral:rRNA from 1 species
CCAAUAGCGUAUAUUAAAGUUGCUGCAGUUAAAAAGCUCGUAGUUGAAUUUCGGGACCAAUAUGUCGGUCGUGCCUCGGUACGUACUGGCAUCGUUGGUUUCUCCCUUCUGACGAACCAUGAUGUCAUUUAUUUGGUGUUGUGGGGAAUCAGGACUGUUACUUUGAAAAAAUUAGAGUGUUUAAAGCAGGCUCACGCUUGAAUACAUUAGCAUGGAAUAAUGAAAUAGGACGUUUGAUUCUAUUUUGUUGGUUUCUAGGAUCGACGUAAUGAUUAAUAGGGAUAGUUGGGGGCAUUAGUAUUCAAUUGUCAGAGGUGAAAUUCUUGGAUUUAUUGAAGACUAACUACUGCGAAAGCAUUUGCCAAGGAUGUUUUCAUUAAUCAAGAACGAAAGUUAGGGGAUCGAAGACGAUCAGAUACCGUCGUAGUCUUAACCAUAAACUAUGCCGACUAGGGAUCGGAUGAUGUUAAUUUUUUAAUGACUCA